UCUGCAAGGAAAAACAUUGUAUCUCACUCUUUAGCGAUUUUGAGUUACAAUCAUAUUCAUAGUGAACAAAAAUGCUCUUUUUAGGCUCACUCCUGUGAAGUCC